AUUGAACGCUGGCGGCAUGCUUUACACAUGCAAGUCGAGCGGCAGCGCGGGGGCAACCCUGGCGGCGAGCGGCGAACGGGUGAGGAACACAUCGGAACGUGCCCCGGAGUGGGGGAUAACGCCGCGAAAGCGGCGCUAAUACCGCAUAUGCUCUGAGGAGGAAAGCGGGGGACCAGCAAUGGCCUCGCGCUCUGGGAGCGGCCGAUGUCCGAUUAGCAGUUGGUGGGGUAAUGGCCCACCAAGGCGACGAUCGGUAGCUGGUCUGAGAGGAUGAUCAGCCACACUGGGACUGAGACACGGCCCAGACUCCUACGGGAGGCAGCAGUGGGAAUUUUGGACAAUGGGGCAACCCUGAUCCAGCCAUGCCGCGUGCGGGAAGAAGGCCU
rnacentral:rRNA from 1 species